UUCCUACGGGGCGCAGCAGUGGGGGAUAUUGCACAAUGGGGGAAACCCUGAUGCAGCGACGCCGCGUGAGUGAAGAAGUAUUUCGGUACGUAAAGCUCUAUCAGCAGGGAAGAAAAAUGACGGUACCUGACUAAGAAGCCACGGCUAACUACGUGCCAGCAGCCGCGGUAAUACGUAGGUGGCAAGCGUUGUCCGGAUUUACUGGGUGUAAAGGGCGUGCAGCCGGAGAGACAAGUCAGAUGUGAAAUCCACGGGCUCAACCCGUGAACUGCAUUUGGAACUGUUUCCCUUGAGUGUCGGAGAGG
rnacentral:rRNA from 1 species